ACUCUUCACGAUGGAUAUCUUGGCUCUUGAAUCGAUGAAGAACGCAGCGAACUGCGAUACGUAAUGCGAACUGCAGAAGUCUGUGAGUCAUUGAAUCUUUGAACGCAUAUUGCACUUCCUUUGGGAGUAUGCUUGUUGGAGUGUGAUUUGACUUGGAUGUCUGUCUACUUAUAGUAGUUGGAUGGACGAUGAUUGAUGGUGGAUAACUACUAUGUAAGAGUUUCCUCCAUUGAAAUAGAAUGUGGUUGAUUGAGGAGUUAAAUUGGUAAAUAUCAAUUAAUUCCCUUUCUCUUAUUACUUUACCCUUUUUCAUCUCCAAUCAAGCAAGAAGACCUGCUGAAUUGAAGCAUCUAACUAAGCAGAGGAAAAGAAAAUAACGAUGAUUCCCUUAGUAACGGCGAGUGAAGUGGGAAAAGCCCAAUCCGAAUUAACAGUUAAUUGUGUUAAGUUGUGGAGUGUAGAAGUAUUGUUUAGUAAGAGUAUACUAUGAGAAUUGGAUUGGAAAGUCAAGUCAUAGAAGGUGAAAACCCUGUAUUUGCAUAGUGUAUUGUACUUUUGAAGCAGUACUUCGUGGAGUCGAGUUGUUUGGGAUUGCAGCUCGAAGUUGGUGGUAAACUCCAUCAAAGGCUAAAUAUGUUCAAGAGACCGAUAGCGAACAAGUACCGUGAGGGAAAGAUGAAAAGCACUUUGAAAAAAGAGUGAAAUAGUACUUGAAAUCGUGGAGGGGUUAAGCGUAGGAGUGGUUGAAUGAUGCAUGGAUUGUUAUUGUUGCAUGUUUGUGAUGAUAAGAAUGUAUGCAAAGGAGUGGUUGUUUAGUGGUGGUGGAAUGUGUUACAUUGCUACUGAACCUCCUCUUUCCUAAUAACUGCUUCUCCGUCCCGUCUUGAAACACGGACCAAGGAGUCUAUCAUAUUUGCGAGUAGUUUAGUGUUAAACUAAAAUGCGUAAUGAAGGUAAUGGUUGUGACGAACCUUGAACGGGUUUAGCAACAACUACCGGUCUUGCAUCUCUGAUAAAGGAUUCGAGUAUUAGCAAAGAUGGUGGGACCCGAAAGAUGGUGAACUAUGCCUGAAUAGGACGAAGCCAGGGGAAACUCUGGUGGAGGUUCGAGUGGAUUCUAACGUGCAAAUUGAUCUUUAAAUUUGGGUAUAGGGGCGAAAGACUAAUCGAACCAUCUAGUAGCUGGUUCCUUCCGAAAUUUCCCUCAGGAUAGCUGCAACUGUGUCUAGUUUUAUGAGGUAAAGCGAAUGAUUAGAGGAUUCUGGGAUGUAAUAUCCUGGACCUAUUCUCAAACUUUGAAUGGGUAAGAUAUUACAGUUGCUUAUUUUUCUGAACUGUAAUUUUGAAUGGAGUAGUUCGCUAGGUGGGCCAUUCCGGGUAAGCUGGACUGGCGAUGCGGGAUCAACCGAACGAUAUGGUACGGCGCCUAAUUGUUCGCUCAGUUAGAUAGAAAAGGUGUUAGUUCAUCUAGACAGCAGGACGGUGGCCAUGGAAGUCGGAAUCCGCUAAGGAGUGUGUAACAACUCACCUGCCGAAUGAAGUAGCCCUGAAAAUGGAUGGCGCUUAAGCGAACAGCCUAACCAUGUCUGUCACCCUAAUAAAAGGUUUAUUUCAGGAUGACAAGUAGGAAGGCGUGAUGGAUAUUGAAAAGUAUAUGUGUAAACUUAUAUGGAAUGUCCAUUAGUGCAGAUCUUGGUGGAAGUAGCAAAUAUUCAAAUGAGAUCUUUGAAGACUGAAGUGGAGAAAGGUUCCAUAGGAAUCGUGUUGAACUAUGGGUUAGUCGGUCCUAAGAGAUAGGUGAAAUCCGUUGAAAAAGUUCUUUUGUAUUUUUAGAAUUGUGGAUCGAAAGGGAAUCAGGUUAAUAUUCCUGAACCAAUGAAAUGGAAUUGAAUGGUAACAGAGAAUAAUAUUAUGACAUCGGUUACUCUCCUGGGAAGAGUUUUCUUUUCUUGUUAACAAUAAUAAAAGCUUGGAAUGGAAUGAAUCCGCGAAAAGGUUUUGUUAUUGGUAAAGGAAUUCAAUAUUUUGAAUUCUCCGGUGCAGAGUAAUGGGUCCUUGAAAAGUAAUAUUAUUUCCCUCCCUUUGGGAAUACAUUUCAUUGUCCGUACUCAUAACCGCAUCAGGUCUCCAAGGUGAAUAGCCUCUAGUUAAUAGAAUAAUGUAGAUAAGGGAAGUCGGCAAAUUAGAUCCGUAACUUCGGGAUAAGGAUUGGCUCUGAGGGCUAGGUGUGAUUUUAUCAGCAAUGAUAGGAUCGUCAGUUCUUGGUUAUCAAAUGAAUGAGAUGAUUGAUGGAGUUGUUAAUUUCCCCCUGGGGAGGUGGACGGCCCUAUUAACUAUUUCUGCAAUUUGUCAACCUUGAAUUUGAAGCACAAUGAAUAGCUGACUCAGAACUGGUACGGACAAGGGGAAUCCGACUGUUUAAUUAAAACAAAGCAUUGUGAUAGUGUGAAAGAUAUAUUGACACAAUGUGAAUUCUGCCCAGUGCUCUGAAUGUCAAAGUGAAGGAAUUCAACCAAGCGCGGGUAAACGGCGGGAGUAACUAUGACUCUCUUAAGGUAGCCAAAUGCCUCGUCAUCUAAUUAGUGACGCGCAU
rnacentral:rRNA from 1 species